CAGUUUAUUUAAAAAAUCAAACAAAAUUGGACAUUUAAAUUCCUUUUAAACUUAUAAAGCACUAUGAAAUGGGCUUAUAUCCCCAAGGACAUGUUUCUAUAUAUUAUCUUAAAUCAUGAAUCAAUCAAUUGCACACCAGUAAAGAUACAAAAUAUUUCUUUCAGUGCCUCAUCACUUCUAGAUCCCUGAGAGAGUGAUGCGCCCGUAGUAACCGCAAACAUUUGACCAGGAGCCCUCGGGUGCUGCGGCGCCUGUUCCUGUUCCAGUUUCACUGGCAGGACCUCCCCUUCAAUGUGGCUAUGGAUGUGGUCAUCCUGCGUCCGGUCGGUCGGACAUGCGUCCGUUUAGUCCCCCAAUCCGGAAUUUGCUGGUGGCGCUGGAACCCGCUGGGUGUCACACUCGGACACUCGCAUGACACAUGCAAAUUUUCCACUCGCAUCCCCCAGAACAGCCACAUCCACAUCCGCAUCCGCAUCCUCAUCCGCUUCUACCGGCAAUGUGUCAUGCGAGUGCUAGUCGCCACUUAAUUCAUUUGAUGCCGUAAUUUGGCAAUUUCUCGCAGAUUUCCACAGUCUGACAUUCGGAUUUGAUCAAUUAAUUUGAAUAACACCGGUCAUUUAUCAUGUCGCGGCCCCGGAUGCGAAAGGGUUGUCCCGGCUGGCUGGCUGACAGGAUAUCCCCAGGUCUAGGGUUGCUGAUUGGAGGCGGCCGACGAAGUUAAUCCCCCCAUCGUGUGACUUCAGUUUGGGUUCGUUUUUUAGUCGCAGCUCACGAGGGAUUUAAAUUGUUUUCAUUGGAUGUUUUAGGGAGAGUGUCAUUAGAUAUAUGUGUGUAGAAGCUGUGCCACUUUACCAAGUCAGCUACAGCAAGUCACGUAAAAAUGUAAGCAAAAGUGAGUUGAACAACAAAAGAAAAGCCCUGAAAGAAGACACGGCUGCUUAGAUAAAUGAAUGCGAAUUACGAGCGGGGAAAAUGUGGAAGGGCAACAUUUUCCGGGGAAAAACUCCUCUUCCAGUGCCACAUACUUUGCAUACUUCUCUGGGAAACAUUCGGAAGCAAGCGUGAAGCCGCAGCAACUGUGUAAAAUUUGUUUGAAAAAAAAAUUGU
rnacentral:misc_RNA from 13 species